rnacentral:rRNA from 1 species
AACGAACGCUGGCGGCAGGCUUAACACAUGCAAGUCGAACGCGAAAUCACCUUCGGGUGGUGGAGAGUGGCAGACGGGUGAGUAACGCGUGGGAACCUACCUAGUGGUACGGAAUAACUCAGGGAAACUUGGGCUAAUACCGUAUGUGCCCGAAAGGGGAAAGAUUCAUCGCCACUAGAUGGGCCCGCGUCGGAUUAGCUUGUUGGUGAGGUAACGGCUCACCAAGGCGACGAUCCGUAGCUGGUCUGAGAGGAUGAUCAGCCACACUGGGACUGAGACACGGCCCAGACUCCUACGGGAGGGAGCAGGGGGGAAUAUUGGACAAGGGGCGCAAGCCUGACCAAGCCAGGCCGCGUGAGUGAUGAAGGCCCUAGGGUUGUAAAGCUCUUUCGGCGGGGACGAUAAUGACGGUACCCGCAGAAGAAGCCCCGGCUAACUUCGUGCCAGCCGCCGCCGUAA